rnacentral:rRNA from 1 species
UACAGAGGGUGCAAGCGUUAAUCGGAAUUACUGGGCGUAAAGGGUGCGUAGGUGGUCCUUUAAGUUAGAUGUGAAAUCCCUGGGCUUAACCUAGGAAUGGCAUUUAAGACUGAAGGGCUAGAGUUUGGUAGAGGGAAGUGGAAUUUCCGGUGUAGCGGUGAAAUGCGUAGAUAUCGGAAGGAACAUCAGUGGCGAAGGCGACUUCCUGGACCGAUACUGACACUGAGGCACGAAAGCGUGGGGAGCGAACAGG